rnacentral:rRNA from 1 species
UGGGGAAUAUUGCGCAAUGGGGGAAACCCUGACGCAGCGACGCCGCGUGCGGGAUGAAGGCCUUCGGGUUGUAAACCGCUUUUGAUUGGGAGCAAGCCUUUUGGGUGAGUGUACCUUUCGAAUAAGCGCCGGCUAACUACGUGCCAGCAGCCGCGGUAAUACGUAGGGCGCAAGCGUUAUCCGGAAUUAUUGGGCUUAAAGGGCAUCUAGGCGGUAAGACAAGUUGAAGGUGAAAACCUGUGGCUCAACCAUAGGCUUGCCUACAAAACUGUUGAACUAGAGUACUGGAAAGGUGGGUGGAACUACACGAGUAGAGGUGAAAUUCGUAGAUAUGUGUAGGAAUGCCGAUGAUGAAGAUAACUCACUGGACAGAAACUGACGCUGAAGUGCGAAAGCUAGGGGAGCAAACAGG